AGACCAAGUGUCACUCUGUCGCCCAGGCUGGAGUGCAGUGGCGCGAUCUUGGCUCCCUGCAACCUCCCCCUCCUAGGUUCAAACGAUUCUCCUGCCUCAGCCUCCCAUCAACUGGACAACAUUUAAAACAAUAAAUGCAACUACUUGUAUUGGAUUUAAAAGAGCAACAAAUGACAGGGUACACUUUGUCACCAGCAAUCAAUCAGAAGCAACAGAUGUGACAUUGUGACAUUUAGAGUCUAGGCCUCAAGAGGCCUUACACACUUCGCUCUCAAAACCCUGCCCAGCCUCCAUGAGAAGUCCGGCUAGCUUGCAGGAGCAUGAGAGACCACACAGACCACAGUUGAAUCACAGUAGUUGUUCAAGUUUAGACCUCAGAUUUAUGAGAGAACCCAGGCAAGAUAAAGUGGGGGCCUGACCCAGGUGAACUGAACUCCCCAGCAUACCCUAGAUUCACAAGCACUGAUAAAUGGUUGAUGUUUUACCAAAGUUUUGGGAAUAGUUUCGUCUGUUAUGCAGCAAUAGAUCACUCAUAAAGAAUUUAUGAAAUGAAGCAAAACAUCCUACAACUGAAUUCUAAAACAAGUAAGUGGAACUUAAUUAAGUGGAACAGGUCCAUUGCCCU
rnacentral:antisense_RNA from 1 species